GGCAAUGACAGAUACAUGGAAGGAGGAAGAGCACCAAGCAAAGUUCUUUGAUGCUCCUAACCAGGUAGCAAUGAAUCUGGGCACUCUUGAACCAAACAAUGACAAAUGGAUUAUUCUUAGAGCCAGCCCAUCCUGCACAUUUGUCCAACAUGCAUGACAAAAUGCAGAUAUGUGUAUUUACAGAGAUAUUAGAGCUUGGAAAAUAGAUGUAAAUAAUAGCCUCCAAGGGAUCAG